rnacentral:rRNA from 1 species
UACGGGAGGCAGCAGUGGGGAAUAUUGCACAAUGGGCGCAAGCCUGAUGCAGCCAUGCCGCGUGUAUGAAGAAGGCCUUCGGGUUGUAAAGUACUUUCAGUCGUGAGGAAGGUGUUAAGGUUAAUAACCUUAGCAAUUGACGUUAGCGACAGAAGAAGCACCGGCUAACUCCGUGCCAGCAGCCGCGGUAAUACGGAGGGUGCGAGCGUUAAUCGGAAUUACUGGGCGUAAAGGGCACGCAGGCGGUUAAUUAAGUUGGAUGUGAAAUCCCCGGGCUUAACCUGGGAAUGGCAUUCAAGACUGGUUAGCUAGAGUCUUGUAGAGGGGGUAGAAUUCCAUGUGUAGCGGUGAAAUGCGUAGAGAUGUGGAGGAAUACCGGUGGCGAAGGCGGCCCCUGGACAAAGACUGACGCUCAUGUGCGAAAGGCGUGGGGAGCAAACAGGGAUUAGAUACC